rnacentral:lncRNA from 1 species
UCACCUUCAACUGACCUUUAAAGAUGGCUUUUAAAACAUUUUAAUCCAUCUACGACUGGACUUUAAAAGUAUUGUUUAGGUUCUAUUUAUAGCAUUACGUUUGAACAAUAAUCUAAAAAGCUGCCCUUCAAUUUAAGACUUUAAAAUUCCAUACUUUGCAGUCCUGUCUCGGCAACUCCUUUUAAAAUUAGCUUUCUCACUCCAUGAAGAAGCUUCAGCUCUUAACCUCCGUCAUGUUCUAAUAUUAUCUUUUUUCUUCUUUCUUCCUUUCUCAUACUAUUUUUUAAGGACGUCUCCAUUUUCCCCUAAAAUAAGACCUUCCUAUUAAUUAUCAGAUCUACUCUCACGAAUUUAACUCAAAACUACAGCUCAGUAUUUUCGCUAAUUUAUAAUUCCUAGAGAAUAAGAGUAAUCCCUAUCUUAACAGAAAAACUUAUCUGCGGUCUCCUCAAGAAGCGUUUCCUGCCUCUCAGCCGUCUCUGCGCUCGCUGCCUCAAUGCCUGCCUCCCGACCCGCAGCGCGCGGCGUAUUUAUAGCCCAAGGACACCUCACACCCCCGUCACCCAAUAACCCUCCGCCGCCUUUGUGAGGGAAGCAAAAAUAGUUCCUCGGAAGGAGUUAAAAAUAGAAUCUGGUUUAUAAGACUCUAGGUUUUUCCUUAACAGUUUAUAUAACUUGCUCGCAAACUCUGUACCCAGAUGUUUAAGUAGAUUUGAACUGAAAACUUGAGUAAAAACAAUGGAAACCACGUUUAAACAGACCAUCAAACAGCUGACAAAAACUCAGAAUUACUUGGAAAUGUUUUAGUAGCUUUUAAAAUACCUUCUGUGUUUCCUUCGAGUACAGUAGGUACAAUUUAGUGCUUUGGAGGCUAGGAAAGUAAAACUAAGUUUGCUGAUGGCCUUCAUUUCCAUUAUGUAACAGAGCUUCAGCCUCACAAAUAGAGCGGAGCCAUCUUAGAAGGACCGAAGGGUGGGAGUUUCGCCCCCAUGGGCCGCAGGUCCUGAGGAUUAUAUCACACCGUCUUGAUUGCCAUUUUAUUCGUGAGAUCCGAUCAGCCCAGGUGAUCUAUGUAAGAAUUGGACUAAAUGUGGAAAUCCACUUCUGGAAAAUGUCUGACAGCCACUCUUUACCACUGUUGCCUGCAACAGAGCUGGUCACGCAUCGCAAGGGAUUAGGACCAAAAUUGAGGCAUCCAGCACCCCGUGUUUCCCACCUGGGUGGAAAAGCGGAGGGAAGCGCCAGGGCGGAACUGGCUGCUGUGUCUCAAGGACUCUAGGAGAAGCCUCGGUCCCCGGGGCGGCAAAGGGGACCCGAGUGAGGCUUGAGGACUUAGAAAUGACAAUGGCGCCAGGGAGCGUCCCAGAUACCGGCUUCCAAGCGGCUAAAGCGGCUGAGGCGCGAAGAAGAAGCAGCUGCCUCGCUUCAGAGAGACGGGCACUUGCUGUCCCCUGCCGAGCCUGGAACAGGCUGCUCGCCGGGACCACGGCCUCCUACUGCCUCCUCUCACCACUUCAAGAGACACCAUCUCCUAAAGACUCAAAGGUGAAAAGCAAAACCUGAACGCGGCCAUGAGCCGCAUCCAGGAAAAGAAACACCUGCGACGGCUCUGCGCCUCCCCCCGCCCCAGUGCAUGCCUCCCUCCUGACACCCCUUCAAAGGCAUACGGGGACACAGGUCCCCGCAGCCUCGUGGCCACUGCUUCUCAUCACGCUGGCUGCACAUCCCAGCCGCAGGAGCACCAAGUCAGACGGGGAAACAACCACAUGGCACAGCCCUGCUGCUCAGGACAGGCUCAGCGCUGACAAGACUGGUGGUGGAGAGAAAUUGCCAAGAUGCUAAGAAACUUGAGAAGCCACCUCUGCAGCAGGGCUGGGACGGGUGAGGGGAAAAGAACUUACUUUCAUUUUAUACUUUUUCCAUG